rnacentral:lncRNA from 1 species
UUAGUUUUUUUUCUUUUUUUCAUUCCUUUUCUUUUUUUUCUUUUACGUUGUUUCUUUCCAGGUGUUUACAUUAAUGGUAGCCAUCUGUUUUAAAAGAGAGUAUAUAAUUUGUGCAUUUUUAAUGUUGGAUAAAAGAUGCCAAGUUGGACCAACUUUCUUGGUUUCUUGAAUCUUACUGGAGAAAAAACAAUUCAAAGAAUUACAUUCAUAUCACAAUUGAAAGAAAAAAGAAAAUCUAUAUUUUUUUAAAUAUAAACUCAUUUUCACAUCAGUAGACAUCUUUUAUUUUAAAUAGUAGGAUAUAAAAUCAUUAAUGUUAAUGAUUGCCUCCCUCUUAUGAAAGCCAAAGACUACUAAUGGAAAAAAUUUAAAUAAUAGCCAAAGCUGAAAAGUAGUCUAUCGCGAAUUAUUUCCCCAGAGAUUUUUGAACAGAAAAUGAGCAAACCGUGUUUACAUGUCUGUUUAUGUUUGUCAUAUUUUCAAGUCUUUCUUCCAUUUUAGCCUCCUUGUAAGAAAACACUGUCCAGUGGUCUCCAUCAGGCCGAUCACUAUAUUCACUGCCAUCCCAUGCUAGUUUAAAGGAAUGCUAUGAAAAUUUAAAUCUGUAGACCAUAUAUACUUUUCACCCAAGUUCUCCCAUUGAGGACUCUUGCUUAAAAAUAUACAAUUUGACUUUGGUCUGCUCACACACAUGAGUUGGCGAGAUCCCAGGAAUGUCGUGUGGUGAUGAUGUUCACUGUUUGUAACCAUGCUGUUAAUGAACAAGAUGGUCAUUUUGCCUCUAGAUUACUCUUGCCUAGUUUAGUCCAUGAUGCUAUACUCGUGAGAGCAUAUCCAGAUGCUGUGUUCUCUAUUUAAAACAGUAUUGUCUGAACAGGAAUGUGUGGCCCUUUAUUAUGGAUUUCAACUACAUGUAAUGAUAUUCCAAUAUUUUCAAUAAAGGAAUUUAUGCAUUCAGUGUGAAUUUCUUUCCUAAAGACUCAUUCAUUGGCCAUUUAUAUAGUACAGCCUGACUUCAGAGACAUGACAUGAUCCAUUCCAGGGCAGAACAACAGAACAAUCAUACGGUUUUCCCCAGUUCUGUAAGAAUUAUGAUUAGACUAUAGUGCUCAUAGUUUAUUGAGCAUGCACUGGCAUUAUGAUUAAAACAGUGUACUACUUUAAUUAAAAAUACUUCAUUUUGCAGCUGUAGAGAUGACUCUCUGGCUACCAGAGCUACUGUGCUUGCUGACAAUGUGCACCAUUUCUUAGCAGGCAUGUUGGGCAGUUCAUAACUGCCUGUAACUCCAGUUCCAGAGAAAUUGUCUUCCUGCACAGGCAGCUGUACAUAUGCACAUACACUUACAGCCUCAGCCUCACACACAUGCACUUAAAAAAUAAUAAAAAUAAUUUUCAAAAUACACUCCAUUGUUAGGAUUCUCAAUGAUUAUCUGAACUAUUUGAAAGUGGUGCCUAUAGACCUGUUUGGCACAGGUUUGCCAUGAAUCUUCUAUUGGUAAAGAUUUACAGUGUCUCCAAGGUACAAUGCAUUGAAGUAUGACAAGGCAUUCGUGUCUGGGGGUUUGUAGUGAGAAGAGGUGGAGGAAAUAACCAAUAAUAAACUGGAUUUGGUAAGAUACUUAACAGAAAACUACCACUUCAUUUCCUGUAGCUUUCCCCCAGUUCUCUCAACAGUUCAUGAAAACUACUACUUUUAUAUAGUUACUGGAGACUACCCUUGGCUUUAUAAUAAUAAAUUUAGUAAUAUUAAUAAUCUAAUGUCUCAUAUGUAGACAGCCCUCAUUUUUAUACCUGUUCUACCCUACAUACAUUUCCAUCAAGGAUAUUUUGCACACUAAUAACCUUCUGCCAUGUAGUCCCCACUGAAGAAAGUCCAGGGAGUCUUUAUUUUCUCAAAAUUUCUCCUUUCAUAGGUAUAGAUGCAAAAUCUUAGGUGAGGGCUGGGUAUGGUGGCACACAUUUUAAGUCCCAGAGUACAGGAGGCAGAAGUGGGCCUGUACUCACUAUGUAGACUAGAAUAGUCUACAUUGAAAGUUUCACACUAGCAAAAGCUAUAUAGUGAGACCCUCUCUUAAGCUGUCUUAGGGUUUUAUUGCUAUGAAGAAACCCUUGACCAUGACAACUUUUUGAAAAACAUUUAAUUGGGGCUGGCUUACAAUUCAGGGUUCAUGCAUGGUGGGAAGCAUGGUGGAGUACAGGCAGAUAUGGUGUUGGAGAGUAGCUGAGAGUUCUACAUCUUCUCAACUAGUAGGAAGGAAGAGUGAGCCACUUCUGAAACCUUAAAGUCAACCUAUGACACACUUCUUCCAACAAGACCACUCCAAUAAGGCCACACCUCCAAAUAGUGCCACUCCAUAUGGGUCCAUGAGGGCCAUUUUAUUCAAACCAUUACAUACACAAGCAAACAAUAGCAACAAUAACAAAAUUGGUUGGAAGAAAGCCAAGGGUACUUAGAGAAAAUUUAAAAUAAGGUAAGCACACACACCUUUUGUGUGACUCAAAAGUGCCUAUGACCAUCUCCUGCCAAUCAGAUCUCUUUUUCUCAUUGGGGAGCUCUUACCCUCAGGGUAACUCAUCAUCUUGCCCCCUUGUUUGUGUCCUUGAGACAUGAUUAUCUCCCAAUAGAUAGUUUCUUUACCAAGAAAAUUAACCUUCACAAUCCAUACCGUACUCUAAGGUCAUAUUCUCUUACCUUUCAUUCUAAGCUGUCUAGUGACAGAGAAUAAAGCAGAUGGUCCUCCCUGCUUUCGCCAAUGGAGACAUCAAAGUAGUGCUUGUUGAUGGGCUCUUCCAUGCUUUUUAUCAGCAGUGUCCAAUGGAGCAUCCUACAAUGCUGGACUUGUACCACAAUUUUCACUACUAUAUUUAUUUACUCAUUUGUUUAUAUUCGUACAUAAUGAUGGGUUCCCUUAUGACGUUUUACAAAUACAAGUCAGAUACUUUGCUCACAUGCACCUUCCACUGGAUGGAAAGAACUCUUUCUCCCCAUGGUUUCCUUCCACUUCCUAAAUACCUCUCCUCCUAACUUCAUGUCAUGUAGUGUGUGUGUGUCUAGAUUACACAUAUGACAAAAAAAAC